rnacentral:rRNA from 1 species
GCCAGCAGCCAUAUCACCCUGUGACUCACAACUGGCAACCCACUAAGCAGGUGUGAGCCUGGUCAGUACCUGGAUGGGAGACCUCCUGGGAAAAACUAAUGUUUGCUGCUGGAA